UUGUGGUGCGACGGAUCGGUCCGACCUUUGGUGGGUACUCGAUGUUGUCGCGCCAUCCUUGAGUGGUUCGUCCUGGCAUUAAGUUGUCGGGGCGGCAGCCGCUCAUCAUUUACUGUGAGAAAAUUAGAGUGUUCAAAGCAGGCUUAUGCCGUUGAAUAUACUAGCAUGGAAUAAUAAGAUAGGACCUCGGUACUAUUUUGUUGGUUUGAGAACCAAGGUAAUGAUCAAUAGGGACAGUUGGGGGUAUUCGUAUUCAGUUGUCAGAGGUGAAAUUCUUAGAUUUACGGAAGACGAACUACUGCGAAAGCAUUUACCAAGGAUGUUUUCAUUAAUCAAGAACGAAAGUAUGGGGAUCGAAGAUGAUUAGAUACCAUCGUAGUCUAUACCAUAAACUAUGCCGACUCAGGAUGGGCGGGUGCCACUCUGGCCUCGUCUGC
rnacentral:rRNA from 1 species